rnacentral:tRNA from 1 species
UCCAGGGUAGCCUAGUGGAUAUCGCAUCUGCCCGGUAAGUGGAACGUUGUGGGUUCGAUUCCCGCCCCUGGAC